CUAGAGACUCCAAUAGUUUUCUGCUUCUCUAUGAAAAGAGAGCCCAAGCAGGAAAGGCAGGGUGGUCCCUAGGCCUGUGAGACCCUCAUUCUCCAAGUCAGCUAAGAAGCACUCCCCCUACUACCCAGGCAGAGGCUGGGGCCCCUCCCUCCCAUUGCUCCUGUGCCCUUUCCUUUCCCCUAUCCUCGUCCCCUCUCCUGGCCCCUCCCACCUUCCUCUGUGUCCCCUUCCUUUCUUCCUCCACCCCUCCACCCCGCCCCCUCCUGUGAGGAUGCCAAAGGCAUCCAGGCCUGACCCCUCAGGCAGCUCUCAGCACCUGGGACCCCCUUACCACCCACUCCUCUCUCCCUGUCCCUGUGGGCUGACAUGAGUAAAACUAUGCCUACAAGGGUGCUCCUGGCAGGGGGAUGAGCCCCACCUCCAGCAGGUGGCAUCUUGGCUGCAGCAUGAAGGCAUCCCCCAGCCAAUGCCACCUGCUCAGCCUAGAAGGUCCACUGGGCUGCCCCUGGCCCAGCUCAGUCUCCAGGAGGCUGGUGUGCUUUCCUAAUCUGCAAACGCAGAGGCCUUUCGUGUGAUUGAGGAUGAGAAUCACUCAUCGUGGGUCCACAGCUGGUCUCCCUGAAAAUGGAAAUGCCUCCUGUGAUCUGCAGGAGCUGGAGGGCGGGGUGUGGGGAGGUUUACGCCGACAAGGAAGGACACCUGAAAUGGGUCCACAGGAGUGAAAACAAUUCAUCUCCUUGAGCCAGGCCUCAAGUGGGCGAUUUAAUUAAGGCCAAAUUAGCCCCAGUCUUUGGCCCUCCCUUCUGGGCGUUGCUAGCUUAUGGUGCUCUGCGGCCCUUCCUUCCUCUUCUCCAGGACAUGAAGGUAGGAACACAGCCCUUGAAUGUGUCCCUCUGUGUGCCAGACUGGGUUCCAGGACCUAGACCACAUUCCAGGUACAGGAACCCCUGGGGGUGCUGCUCCGGAGAGGCUCAGACAUGUACCCCAUGUGCCUAGGGCUUUCCACCGGGCUGCUCAACACGCCCAGAUAAGCAGCUACUCAGAGGGCACAGCCACGGAGUGGCAGGACUGGGACCCACGGCCCAGUUGGAGUGACUGUGAUACGGUGGUCUAGUGUUGGGGAGGAGGCAAGGCCCCAGUGCCAUAUCCUCAGAAGAGCCUGGAUGAGGGUUGAGGGAGAAGGAUGGUCCUCAGGCCUCAGGUGCGCCUGGCUCAGGUGCCUCCAGAAGGAUGUUGUCCUUGAGAUAGAACCCUUAAGCAUAAUUAGGAUUGUUGGAGUUCCCAACGUGCUCAGCGGUAAUGAACCCAACUAGGAUCCAUGAGGAUGAGGGUUCAAUCCUUGGCCUCGCUCAGUGGGUUAAGGAUCCAGCAUUGCUGUGAAUUGUGGUAUAGGUCGCAGAUGCAGCUUAGGUCCCACAUUGCUGUGGCUGUGGUGUAGGUUGGCACCUGCAGCUGUAAUUAGACGCCUAGCCUGGGAACUUCUAUAUGCCACACGUGCAGCCCUAAAAGGACAAAAAAAAGAAGAGUUAGGAUUGUUAGCUCAAAAUGGAGCCUGCCAGCCCACCCCUGUGGCUACCAGGGGCCCUGGCAGAUGCCACCAACAAAGACAUGAGAGGAAAGCACACAGUAUACCAAAGCCCAAGACAGAGGAACGCAGGGCACAGACAACAGGGCUGGACGGGGGUCCCAAAUGGAGUCACUGAGCCACAGUCCCACCAAGGUGGAAGCCCUGGUCUUACCUGGCCUCUGUCUGUCCUGCUCCUCAGAGCACAGCAUGGAGCCAAGCACAGACCUGGAGGGUCUCUGCGUCUGCAGGGGUGCUGCUUAUCACCCCUCCUUCUCUGGAAAGAAGGGCAAGGGAGAGGUCGGCACUCCUGCUGCCCCGCCCCCCACUCAAGGUGUGCAAACCCAGCCCUCCAGGCAGAGAGUAUAAGCUUUGGGCAAACAUCCUGCCUUCUCCCCAGGAUAUUUCCUUUAAUAAAAGACCAUGGAAAUGUCAGCUAGUCUGAACAAAUAGCCAGGUUUUACAGAGGAUGAGCAGCCUGCACACAAGCAACUCUAGAGCCCGCUUUUCAAUGUGGGUUUGGAAAAUUGUGUGCCAGGAAGGAAGCUGAGCAUCCUUCCUGGUGGGGUGAGCCUUUAGGGCCCAGAGAGGUAAGGCUUACUGGGUUCCCAGUGGGGAAGAGGCAGGUGGACCUGAUGUGGGGUGGCUGUCCCAGGGGGCCCUGAGGAACUGGGCCAUCAGACCAGGGCUCCCUCCUGAGGACCCUCAGGUGGGGGAGGGGAUGACAGCAGGCUGGUUCUCAGGCUCAGUGUCCCUUCCUCCCUCCCUUCCCUCCCUCCAGGGGUCCACUUCCUGGAGCCCCAUCUUCCUCCCUGUCCAUCACUCAGGUCCCUGGGUUAAGGGAGGCACCAAUGAGGUCUGUCCUGAUGGGCCUCCCAAGGUGAGGUGGGCCUCACUGCCUCCACUGGACAUGGGGACCAGGAGGCCCAGACCAAGACAGGGAACUUACAGCCUGAGGCUUGGGGGAGCUAGUGGCUCAGCCCCAACAGCAUCCAGGAGCUGAACCUACUCAGGGUUUGGGGUGUCCCUGCAGACCAAGGAUGCUGGGCCCCAUAUGGGUUCCAUGGCCUCCAUGGAUUGUGUCCAAGCAAGGCCACUUUCAAGGAGAGCCAGCAAGUCGGCACCAGCUCAGGAGAGUGAGACUGGGCUCUGUCAGGCAGGCUGCAGCUGCUCAGAGGGCGAGUGGGUUGUUUUUAGGGUGAAAAUGGGCCACCUGGCCCCGGGGCUUCGUUGCAGACACUCACACCUCCCUGUCACUGGUGGGGAGGUUGAGCCCCACCCCCCAUAGGCAAGGCUGAGCAAGUGGGGGCCAGGGAGGAGCUAGGACCAAAGCCAGUGGUGGGCUCCCUGGCCAAGGCAGGGGCUCUGGACCAAGGUACAAAGGAGAGGGGUGCAGACUUCAGUGCCCUGUGGGCUGAAGAAUCUUAGCUCUGCCCCUGAUGUGCUGGCAGGAGGACCUUGGACAAGUAAAUUCACAGAACCUCCCAGAUCCCACAUCCUCAUCUGUGGAGUAGAAAGUAAUCUCCAUUGCACCUGCUGUGGAAAGGAGAGAGUAGGAAAAUUCUCUUGGUGCCGGGCACAGGGCAGGACAUUCAGUCAGUGGAAGUUCUCCACCACCCGCCACCAUGAUCCCUCUGAAGCAGGUGCUAAGGCGGACACUUCUCAGGGCAGAGGACACCAUCCUUGGGUCUCUGGGAGAAGGGAUCUGGCGCUGCAGACGUUUUCCAAGAAUGGCCAUGAAAUUAUUUCUAGUUCCAUACGACCUCUCAGAACCUUGCCACUCCCCCAUCAAGAGGGAGUCUGUUUCCUCUCCCUUUGAACUUGAGUCGGGGGCUGAGUAUGGGAGGCUGAGUGCCCCUAUCACCAGCUUCAUCCAUGGUCAGAUGAACCUGGGAGAGCCCUUCCCUGGGGUGAGGCCUGAUUCAGGAGACCAGACCCCAGUGACUGUUCUGUCCCUCCCAGCCUGAGGCCCUGGGACAAGGCUAGACCUGGAACCCAGAAUUCCUUGACUUUCAGGAAUACAGCCCCACCUGUCACGAGUCAGAGGCUCUGCCGCUCACCAUUCAAGCUCUGUCUCAUUUCAUCCACCAGAGAUUCCCAGUCCCGUUAUUUUUCACAUGAAAAAAUUGAGGCUCCAAGAUUAGCUGAGUCCCUUGUCUAAUGUGUCCCAGCCUGACCUUGGAAGAGGCACACUAGGGAAUGAUUUAAAGGCCCCAUUCUAGAUCACUUGCCAGCACCCUCAUGCCAGCCUCUGCCCCAUAUUUCUGGGGUGAAGCAGCAGCUCUCAGCCACAGGCACCCCCAUCAAUCAAUAUUUUUAAUUACUUACAUGAUUGACUCAUAAAAUUCUCCACCAACUAAUUGAUUUUGUGAUCAAGCGAGAGCCUCUGUUUUUAUUAAAAGGCUACUUAGAUGACUUUUUUUCCCCCACUGAAAUGGGAAGUUGUAUUUCUUUUGGUCAUUUUGGAAAAAGAAAAAUGGGAGAAGGCAGGUACUAGGGGGAGACCCAGAGGCCAGGAAGAUAAGAGACCCAAACCAGGAUGCCCUGCGAUAAAUUAAUUGGCAACUCUGCUCACCUAUUUAUCCUCGCAGAUACCCAGAUGCUUGAGCAGUGGGUCAGGCACUAGCCAGAGGGAUCCUCAGGCAUACACUUUACCCAAGCCAGGCUUAGCCAGCGCUGCUUCUGUUGUUUUUAAAAGUAAACUGUAAACUUCCUUUUGCAUUUUAAUAAAAAGUAUUGGCUUUUCAGCUAUGAAAGUAACUCAUUCUUCAUGCACAGUUUGGAAAAGACAGGCAAAUCUAACAAAACAAAAAAGCCAAGAGAAUGUUCUCAGCCUAAAAGGACAGUUGAUAGAGACACUGACAAAGAGCUGACUCCCACUUUUCCACAAGUCCAAAGCUCCAAAGAACUGUCACCAUAGAAACCAACCAGGUCCCAGGGCCCAGAGAAAGCUGCUCAGGGCUGCCACUUCAGCGGGCUUUGGGAUUUUGAUUUUUUUUUUUUUUUUUUUUUUUUUUUUUUGCUUUACUGCUUUGGUUUCUGACUGGUUUGGCCAUGUCCUGUGACUUGCAUUGACUCUUAUAACUGUAUUUAUAAAUGACUCCAGUGCAGCCUGUCCCAUGGAAGAGCCAUUGCCUGUGAACUGUCCCUGUGGCACACACCAAAGUCACCUUCCCUGGGCAGUGCCAGGCCUUGGUGGGGACAGGGGCUUGGAAUGGGCAGUUGGGACGAGGGAGAGAGUGGAGCAUUUUGUGGAGGGGCAGGGAACUGACAGUGGGACUAGGCCUAGGAAAGGGCACCACUCAUGGCCCUAGGCAGUCCCUUCCAUCUCCAAACCUCAGCCUCCUCCCCCAGAGUGAGGGUGCUUCUGCAAGGGACAUUAGGAGGCCUGGCCACCCCCAGGUCUCAGGCACAGGGAGGCCCAGAAGACUGGAGAGGUGCACCAGCUCAGCUCUGGGCCAUGGCCCGUCUCUGCCCAUCAUGUCCACAGUCACGGAUAUCCCACUGUGCCUGAUCUCAUGCCGACUUCAUCUUCUGUUAACUGCUACAUACCUAGCAACCAGAAUAGUGGAUGACACAAAAUGGGUGCUCAGGGACUGCAUGGCAGGUGAAGGCCGAACAAAUCCAUGUUAACCAUGAAUAUUGCUGAUGGCUGCCAAAUGGUCCUUCUGAGCAAAGAGACAAUGACCCCCACCCAUGCCUGCCCACUUAGGAAGGGCAGGGCAGACAAACAGAAUGAGGAGCCAUGACGCCUACCUCAUGCCAGCCCACUAUGCAGAGGCCACUAUUUUGUCCUCAUGGACAGAGGCAGGAAUAGCCACAGAGGAGUCAAGAGGCUCCCCAAAGCCACCUAGGCUGUCUGAAAUGGGGGUCUGGUUCUCUGUAGAGGAAGCUUCUCAGGAUCACCCAGAGGUCCAUCCCCACUGAAUCAAAGCCCAGGUAACCCACACUCACCUAGAAGUGAAGUCCCCAGACCCCCUGGGGAGCCAUGAGGCUGUCAUCAGCCCACCAUUGUGCCUAUGGGAUCCAGAACAUCUCUGGAACCUAACUUACUUUUAAAUAAAAUAAAAUUCACAUUUUUUCUUAUACCGAAAUAACAUCUUUUCAAAGUGGAAAACUGAGAAAUUAAAAACCGUAAAGAAAAGGUCAGUUGUCCUCCUCCCUUAAGUGCUAAUGACAUGGGGAGGAGAGGUGGGGACAUUUCAGAGAUGAAAAGUUCCACGAGGAGCUGGCCACUCCCCUCUGGACCUCAGUAUGCCUGAGGGACACGCUCACAUCCAGGUCCGUUGUGACCUCCACACUGCUGGCUGCCCUUGAUGCAGUGAGUCACUCCCUCCUGGAAGCAUCUCCCUCCCUGGCCGGUACAGUGGAGCAGCAGCAACGGGAGGCCAAGGCAGAAUCCCAGCCCACACAGACAGCCCUGGAGUCUCACCUCACCUGCCACCCACCCCCGCUGGUCCCCAGCUGGUCAGCUCCACCCUCUCGUCCUGACGUGUGGACUUUGGAAUGUCCCCGGAGCCUCUGCUCUGGUCCUCGUCUCCCUCCCCACCCCCUCUUCGGUGAGCUCAUCCAGGCUGUGGCUUCAAGCAUCUGUGCGCUCAUGCCGCCCACGAAGAAUGCUCUGACCCUCUAAAAGGCACCUCCAGGGUGACUUACGGUGACUCUUCUGAUCCAUUCUCCUGGCCCUUACCACCCCUCCCCUCCGCCAGAACUCCAAGGCAGCAGGUGGCAACCUCGGCCUUCCAGGUGUUCCAUUCAGGUGGGAGCUAAGCCACCAUCACACUGCUGUUGUUCCCACCCUCCAUCCACAGACCCUCUGAGCUCACCCGGGGGGUCCUGGCCAUGCUGGCCCUCAACUAGGCCAUUCCAGUUGCUCCUGACUGGCCUCCCAAGCCACCUGCCCGUGCUUUUCGGAGUGGUGAUCCUGAGAAGAAGCAGAAGCGCAUCAUUACCUCCUGGCUCACUAUCUUCCCAAGCCCCUUGCUCCCUCCCUCUAAGGAAAAUCCUUCACCUUUGCUGUGGUCUUCAAUGGCCACGGAAUCCAGCCCCUGCCACCUCGCCAGCCUUAUCUCCAAAACCCUUCCCUGAUCCCUGCGCUCCAGCCGCAGUGGCCUCCCUGGGGCCCCUGGAGACCACCAAGCAUGUUGCCUCCAUCCCCCAAAAGCAGGGCCUGAGACAAGGACUUGUGGUGGCUAGUUGGUUUGGGAGGCGAUGGCAGGAGUGAGAGAAAGGAGAAAAGCCAGUGGAGGGGUGGUCAUCAGUGGGCGCUGGGGAGCCGCUGGGCCCUCCUGAGAAACUUUCAGAACCCUCCACAGGAGGAUGUGCCUGCCACUGGAACAUGACCCAUCCUCCCGCCCCACUUCAUCAGUGUUGCCACAACUUUAUCUCCCUGUCCCCUCAGUCUGCCGUGGGAAGGCCCCCCUCCUACUAUUAACAGUAGUAGUUAAUUACUGCUGUUCCUUUUGUGAUUAACAAGCACGGUUGUUUCCACUGUUCAAACUUUCACCCACAAAUUUAGCAUUUGCUGAUAAAUCUUGUCUGAAUCAAUUAUCAUUACCAAAUGUUAAUUUUUCUAAAUUCCAUCUACAUUAGCUGACAUUCUACUAUAAGGACAAGUUUUCCUUUUGUUUUUGCUUGUUUAAUCUUGUUAUAGACACAUGGAGUUUUAAUUUCAAUGGUUAUAAUUCAUUACUGUAAUUUCUCAUUUUGGUGCUCAAAAUGUCCCUUUUGGGUCAAUGGGAGCCCCUUCAAGCUUGCUCCUGUGUCCCUUUGAAUGUCCCUAUCAUACUUUACUUCCUUUCUGUCACAACAAGCCAGUCUAAGUCUAUAUAUAUAUAUAGACAUAUAUAUUUGGCCUCACCCACAGCAUGUGGAAGUUCCUAGACCAGGGAUAGAACCCAGACCUCAGCAGCGACAUGAGCCACAGCAGUGACAAUGCUGGAUCCUUAACAACUAGGCCACCAGAGAAUUCUUUAAGUCCAAUUUAAAUUCCCUGUCCCAGACCUGGAAUCAAUCAUUUCUGCAAGAAGCCUUGGUUCCUGACUCCUUUUAGCAGAGACUGUAUUUAGAAACCAAGAUUUAGGUACUGGAUGUUGUUGCUGGGGUGUUUGCAACAUUUUUAAAGGUUGAAAGUAUCCAGGAUUAGUGAGGCACUGGCAAAGAGCAUUCUUGUUCUCAGUCACUGGGGAGUGACUGCUGAAGCAGUGAGGAAGGGCAUUUGGUCAUAGCUGUCACAUGGUGAUAGGUGUGCAGGUGCAUGCAGCCGUGCCACUUGUAGGAGUCUCUUCAAACUCGCACCCAGGGACACAAAACAACACGUUGGAAUCAACCCGUGUCCAUUGACAAAAAGAAACUAAGGAAAUCAUCAUACUCCCUUCCUAACACUUUGCAUCCAUUGAAAUCAACGAACCAAACUUAAGUCCAUGAAUUGUAUUUGGAGGACCAACUUACAGAAUGCCAUGUAUAAUCUGAUUUUUUAAAAAUUUAUUAUGGGUACCUCUUACAUAGGUGAGUGUGUUUGCGUAGGGAAAACUCUAAAAGGACACACUCCAAUCUCCUAGGCAACGUUGUCCCUCUGAGUUAUGGGAGAAGGGCGUGGAGGUUGAAAACAUGGGAGCAGAAGAUUGUAGUUUUAAUUUUACACACUCCUGAACUAUUUGAAGAUGUUCUAGCAGCCAUGUAUUUCUUUCACAAUUU
rnacentral:lncRNA from 1 species